AUAGCAAGCGUGUCAGCAGCCUGUACAAGGAGGCCAGGCUUUGGAGGGGACACUGUGAUUGGUUCAGGCAGUGCACCUCUCCGCCCCCCCCCUGCUCCUGUGUCGGAGUAAAUUCAGCACAGGAGCAUCUGUUUCACUCAGUCAUCACGUGAUUGAACUUAUUGCAGGCUCUUCCAUCUGAAUUUGAUGAUGAAGGAAAAAAAGUGGAGAGAAAUUGUGUUGCAGAUUUGGACAUGGAAAGUGAUGGCGGUGGGGGGGAAACAACCCUGGAAUAAUUAAUUUUUGAAAUAGCAACAGAGAACCAGAGAGGGAGGGGUCGGACCGCACGGCUGUGCGAGGAGCUCCGGGGAGUCUGGAAACUUCCAGAAAAGGCGACAGAGGUGCUGCAGCGCUGAGAGGCUGACGAUGUCCAGGCAACAGGAAAACCGCUUUUAGAACAGACCAGGAACGAAAGGAGAUUUUAUUUGUGUUGUCAAAAAUGCAAAGAAGUUCUCCCCACCCCCAAGGAGAUCUGCCGCCCUUCAUCCAUAUGAGGGAGGCAAAGAUGCUCUAUAAUGUUUAAUUUCUUACAUGUUUUGACAUAAAAGAGAUAUGGAUGAGUGACCAAAAUGAGAUGUGACUGAGGAUGGUUUCACUGAGCCUUUAGCACCCUCUUGUGGUGUCAGAAGAAAGUCUUCCGAAAAUCUAAAAAGGCUCUAAAAUGUGGUUGUUCUACGAUCUUUAGCUGUAAGCUCACGUUACAUAAUCAGAACUAAAAAAAAAAAAAAA